GAGCGCCGGCUGCCCUGACGUCAGCAUGGCCGCGGCCCCUGACUACCCAGCUCCCUUCUAUCCCUCGAGCGGCAGGAAUCCGUCCCCACGCCCUUUUCCUUUAAAGGGCAACGGGCCGAAGGUGGGGCGGGCGGCGCGGCUCCCGCGAUCCAUUCAGGUCAAAAGGGAGAGUGAUCAAACAGGAGAGCCGAGGGGACCUAUAUUCAGAGACUUAACCGGACACCUGGACAGACCAUUACAACUUGGGACUUUUCAGGAGAAUGAGGGAAAUGUAGUUAUUGCACCUGAGCCUCACUCCAGCUCUGAGGUCCUCUUCACUUCUCUUUGGAAGAAAAUUGGAUAUCUUUUCCUAGUUGAAAGAGUAGAGAUCUGAUUUCUCCAAGGAUCAUCGCUUUUUGACACGGGAUUAUUAGAAGCAUUCAUUCAUCUAUCAAGGAGUUUUGGGAUACUUGCCAUAAGCCAAGCCCUCUGAUAGGUGCUGGAAACAUCAAGCUCUGUGCCCAGGAAGUUCAUCCUUGGACUGCACGCAUGAACGAGUUUGCUGUCUUCCCAUUGGAUUCAGCCAGUCCGCGGUCCUGGAAGAAGAAAUACUUUCCCAGACAAAUAAAAGCUGAGGAAUAUCAUCAACAUCAGACCUGUCUUACAAAAAAUGCUAAAGGGAGUUCUUCAAUCCAAAAGAAAAAGAUGUUAAUGAGCAAAAAUAAAUCAUCUGAAGGUGCAAAACUUGCUGGUAAUUGUAAGUACAAAGAAAACACAGAAUAUUAUAACACUGUAACUUACAUGCUGUGGUGUGUAAACUACUCAUAUGUUAAGUAAAAAGACUAAAAUAUAAAUCAAUUAAAAUAAUAAUUGCAACAACUUUUCAAGACAUAGACAGUACAAUAAGAUACAAAUAGGAACAACAAAAUGUUAAAAAGCAGGUUGACACAGUUAAGGUGUAAAGGUUUUAUUAGUUUUCCCUUUGCUUCUUUGUUUAUGCAAUCAGUGUUUAGUUGUCAACAGUUUAAAAUAAUGGUUAUAAGAUAUUGUUUGCAAAUCUCAUGGUGACCUCAAAUCAAAAACAUACAACAGAUACAUGAAAAAUAAAAAGGAAGAAAUUAAAACAUACCACUGGAGAAAAUCACCUUUACUAACAGAAAGACAGGAAGGAAGGAAAGAAGGAAGAGAAGACCACAAAACAACCAGAAAACUCACAAUAAAAUGGCAGGAUUAAGUCUUUAUUUAUCAACAAUAACAUUGAAUGUAAGUGGAUUAAACUCUCUGAUCAAAAGACAUAGAGUGGCUAAAUGUAUAACAAAACAAGACUCAAUAAUCUGUGGCCUACAAGAAACACACUUCACCUAUAAAAACACAUAUAGAUUAAAAAUAAAGGGAUAGAGAAAGAUAUUCCAUGGAAACAGAAA
rnacentral:lncRNA from 1 species